UACAGAGGGGGCGAGCGUUAUUCGGAAUUAUUGGGCGUAAAGGGCGCGUAGGCGGCCUUUCAAGUGACGGGUGAAAUCCCUCGGCUUAACCGAGGAACUGCCUGUCAGACUGGAAGGCUUGAGACCGGGAGAGGUGAGUGGAAUUCCCGGUGUAGCGGUGAAAUGCGCAGAUAUCGGGAGGAACACCAAUGGCGAAGGCAGCUCGCUGGGACGGUACUGACGCUGAGACGCGAAAGCGUGGGGAGCAAACAGG
rnacentral:rRNA from 1 species